rnacentral:lncRNA from 1 species
AUAAUCAUUCAUUAUCUUUACAAUUAACCAUCUAAAGCUACCACAGUUCUUCAAUCAAAGUAUAUAUUUACAUAUAAAGAGAGUAAACUUCAUAAUUUCGUCCCUUGUCUUCCGUAAACGUAGCACGGAAAUUUGAUACCCAGUAUUGUAAGGCAGGUCGUAGAAGUAGUCUUCCUGUACAUAUUUAAAAAUAAUAGCAAGU